GACGAACGCUGGCGGCGUGCCUAACACAUGCAAGUCGAACGGAGUGAAGCCCUUCGGGACUUUACUUAGUGGCGAACGGGUGAGUAACGCGUGAGGAACCUGCCUUUCAGUGGGGGACAACAGUUGGAAACGACUGCUAAUACCGCAUGACGCUUCUUGGGGGCAUCCCCGGGAAGCCAAAGAUUUAUUGCUGAAAGAUGGCCUCGCGUCUGAUUAGCUGGUUGGUGAGGUAACGGCCCACCAAGGCGACGAUCAGUAGCCGGCCUGAGAGGGUGAACGGCCACAUUGGGACUGAGACACGGCCCAAACUCCUACGGGAGGCAGCAGUGGGGAAUAUUGCACAAUGGGGGGAAACCCCUGAUGCAGCGACGCCGCGUGAGUGAGGAAGUAUUUCGGUAUGUAAAACUCUAUCAGCAGGGAAGAUAAUGACGGUACCUGACUAAGAAGCACCGGCUAAAUACGUG
rnacentral:rRNA from 1 species